rnacentral:rRNA from 1 species
AACGAACGCUGGCGGCAUGCCUAACACAUGCAAGACGAACGAGAUCUUCGGGUCUAGUGACGCACGGGUGCGUAACGCGUGGGAAUCUGCCCUUUGGUUCGGAAUAACAGUUGGAAACGACUGCUAAUACCGGAUGAUGACGAAAGUCCAAAGAUUUAUCGCCAGAGGAUGAGCCCGCGUAGGAUUAGCUAGUUGGUGUGGUAAAGGCGCACCAAGGCGACGAUCCUUAGCUGGUCUGAGAGGAUGAUCAGCCACACUGGGACUGAGACACGGCCCAGACUCCUACGGGAGGCAGCAGUGGGGAAUAUUGGACAAUGGGCGAAAGCCUGAUCCAGCAAUGCCGCGUGAGUGAUGAAGGCCUUAGGGUUGUAAGGCUCUUUUACCCGGGAUGAUAAUGACAGUACCGGGAGAAUAAGCUCCGGCUAACUCCGUGCCAGCCGCCGCGGUAA